rnacentral:tRNA from 1 species
UCCCUGGUAGUCUAGUGGUUAGGAAUCAUCACUCUCACCACGGCAGCCCAGGUUCGAUUCCUGGUCAGGGAA